rnacentral:rRNA from 1 species
GACGAACGCUGGCGGCGUGCUUAACACAUGCAAGUCGAACGGAAAGGCCCUGCUUUUGUGGGGUGCUCGAGUGGCGAACGGGUGAGUAACACGUGAGUAACCUGCCCUUGACUUUGGGAUAACUUCAGGAAACUGGGGCUAAUACCGGAUAGGAGCUCCUGCUGCAUGGUGGGGGUUGGAAAGUUUCGGCGGUUGGGGAUGGACUCGCGGCUUAUCAGCUUGUUGGUGGGGUAGUGGCUUACCAAGGCUUUGACGGGUAGCCGGCCUGAGAGGGUGACCGGCCGCCACGGGGGGACUGAGCCACGCGGACUCCUCCGGGGGGCGGCAGUGGGGAGUAUUGCUCCGUGGUCGGCGGCAGGAUGCAGCAGCGCCGCGUGCGGGAUGGCGGCCUUCGGGUGGUAGACCGCUUCCGCCUGUGGCGAAGCGUGAGUGACGGUAAUGGGUGAAGAAGCACCGGCUAACUCCGUG